rnacentral:lncRNA from 1 species
AAUUAGCAAGAGCUUAAAGCUUGAUUGUUUUGGAGCUUUUGGAAACUUAUGAAGGUUGUGAGUUCUCGUGGCUUUUCUGAAGCUCUUGCAGAUAUUAUCAGGCUGCGCUUCCUUCAAAGCCCACCAGCUUUCCCCUCCCACCUCCUUCAGGCUUGCUGUUCUCCACAGAGUGUGUUUAAAUUAGCUGGACCAUUGCAAGCUAAGAGACUGAUUAAUCUUCAGAUGUGCCACAAGAUAGAAGUCAACAGCCUAGCGGAGGGACUUGAGUGGUUCCUCCAGGGUCAAUCUUACUCUCCAGGAGUGUGGAGGGAGACAUCCAGAAUGGUUCUUCCAUUUAAGGAAAGCUUCAGUGACGAUGCUCUGCUGAAGCUGCAUAUUAUCUCCACACAUCAAAAACCGUGA